CCCAUUCAGACCCCAGUUUAGUUCAGGCACCCACAGGGAUUUUCACCACGGCCCCGCCCCCUCAGGGAACCUGCCUGACAUAGGAGGGGUCAGGACCAGGGUGGAGGUCGUAGGAAGCUGGGCUCGAUUUGGGAGAUGGGCUCGGGGGUCCCAACUGAAGCAGGGUUUUCCUCCUUUCCUCACCUUCUGGGAUCUAGUCUGGAGUUGUGGGGGGCCCCGACUUUCAUAGAAGUGCAGCCACAGCGAGCUCAGUGGAGUGCAGGGACAGCACCACACUCCUCAGGGCUGUGGGAGCUGAGGAUGGAGCCCUGCGGCCCUGAGGCCAUGAGUGGACAGAGAGAGGUGGGCAGGGGCCACCACACCAGAGAAGAGUGUCUCUACCUCGCCAGAGUUGCUGGCAGGUGCCAAGCUCCAGCCCAGGUACACGGGACCCCUGACCCUGCUCUGUUGGCAGGCAGGGGAGGGGAGGGUUCGGCACCCUGGGGUGCUUUGCCGGCAAUCUGGAGAGAGAAUGAGUGCACAUGUGUAGGCAGCUCUCUCAUCUCUGGGGGCUCCAGUGACGCCCAUCCUGGGGCUGUCUUGGUCGCUUUGCUCAGUCCAGUAUCAGGGUCUUUUUUCCCCGUUGUAGGGUCUGCAGCCUGCGGGAUGUGGACUCACAGAUGGGCAAUGUGUCCCUAGGUCUGGAUUGACCAGAAAAGCUGCUCCCUGGCCUCGGUGUGGGGAGGAGACACCACUCGUGCUCCUGGAGCCUCCUUCCCAGAGGAGGGCACCAACCCGGGGGCACUGACAGCUCUGAGGGAGCACCACCCCACGCCAAACUCAAUGGAGGGACCAGGCUGCUAUCUGGGGCCACCGUAGAGGGAAUUGCCUGCCUGCCACCUACCUAAGGGAUGGGCUCCCUUCCUCUGCUGGGACCUCCAUGGGCCUAUCGUGCCCACAAUCCAUGAGCCGUGGCCCCCAGGCAUUGCCAGGAAGCAGUCUACGUGAAAGGACGACGUGUCUAAUUUUGCAGCUACGUGGAGGAUUUGUCACACAGAACCAUCCGUUCAAUCUAGACCAUCACUAAAAGCACUCCGGAUAAUAAAUCUUCAUUUUGUAUUAACUGGAGAGGCAGCCGCCUUCUCAGAAUGGCUGUUCCCGCGUAAUCAUGAUAAAUGGAGAAUCCUGGACAGCCACUCUAAUCACCAGCAAAUAGACUGCGUGCAUCAGUCUGGAGCACAAACAAUAUUUGUUUCCCUUGUCUGAGCCAUCCCACCUCUUCUGGUUUCGACAGCACCUGCAAAGGACAGACGUCCUCCUACAGGGACCUGUAGAGUUUCCUUCACAUUGUCUCUGAUCUGUGGCUCUUGCAGCGGAGGGAACCAUCCCCCACUGUUCACAUUUCAACCCGGGCAGCAGAGGGCGCUCUAAAGCCCGGCCUCCCGUCAGUGACUGUGUAUAUUUAAAGGCUGUAAUUAAGGGGCCGUCAGUCAGAAUUCCCAUCACAGGUCCCAGCCUUGAAGUGGGUAACUUGGACUCUCUAGCUCACAGCAUGUUUUGAAAUCUGACAUUUGGAUACCCGGCUUGGGAAGAGUCUCCAUUUGAAAACAGUAAAUAGACGGGAAUUCCAAAGUCAGUCCACACUUUGGGACAGGCAGGGACGAGCGUUUUAGAUGGAGGAACAGCCUAAGUCCGUUCCAUGAUCAGACGUUGAUCACAUAUCUCCUGUGUCCUGAGCUCUGAGGACAGGCGCUAUUGAAGAAGGAACUGCCCUUGGCCAGAAGAAGCUCGCCACCCAGUGGAGGACAGUGACUCCCAGUCGGAUGGACUGCCACACCACGUGGCAAAGCAUGAGAGAAGAGUUGCCUCGAGCUAACAUCUGUUGCCAGUCUUCCUCCUUUUUUCUUCUCCACCCCCAAAGCCCCAGUACACAGUUGUGUAGACUUGCUCAGUAUUGGAGUCUGAUCAGUUUCCUUUGCAAGCAAACUCCUUCACCAGUCAGCCUGUCUGGAGAUUCUGUAUGGGCCAUCUGGUUGUGUCCUGGGAUUGGCUUGCUGCUGGAGUACUUGAGUAGCCUGGUGCUGGGGUGCUGUAAUCUCUCACCUGUAAUCCUCGGCUCUUUUGAAGGUAUUUUUGUGUACAGAUAGUUGUUCAAUGAAUGUUUCUCAGGGGGAUUGAGUGGUAGAAAUUCUUGUGGUACCAUUUAACUGAUGUCCUAUGUGCUAUUGAAUUUUGUUUGCUCAUAUUUUGUUGAGAAUUUUGCAUCUCUAUUCAUAAGGGAUAAUUGUCCGUAGUUUUCUUUUCUUGUGAUGUCUUUGUCUGGUUUUGGUAUCAGAGCAUUACUGGGUUCACAGAAUAAAUUGCAAAAGUGUUCCCUCCUCUUCUAUUUUUGGGAGAGUCAUUGAAGGAUUGAUAAUUCUUUUACUGUUUUGCAGAAUUCACCAGUAAUGCCAUCUGAUCAUGAGAUUUUCUUUGUGGG
ensembl:lncRNA